rnacentral:lncRNA from 1 species
CACAAAAUGAAAAUUUGAAGAUAGCUAUAACCAAUGGGUAUUUUUUCCCUGAAACUGUGUGUGGUGUUGCAUCAGAAUAUCCAAAAAAUUGAAAAAUUCAUAACAUAAUGAGUGGAUCAGCUGAAAAAAUGCAAAUGAGAGAGCUGUAUAAAAAAAUUUUUCCCUUGGUUAUCACUGCAACUGAGAACAGUUCAGAGAGAGAGAUUUUUGUCAUUAUGUCAUUGAGAAAACAUCAAGAUGAUGCAACACGAUGGCAAGAUGUUGGCAGACUAAGGCCCGCAUGCAUAAAAUUAACAGAGUUGCGGAAUUACCGGAUCUUGUUGACGUCAGAAGUUACCAAU